GACGAACGCUGGCGGCGUGCUUAACACAUGCAAGUCGAACGGAGUGGCGAACGGGUGAGUAACACGUGUGUGAUCUGCCUUGCACUUCGGGAUAAGCUUGGGAAACUGGGUCUAAUACCGGAUAGUGCAAGAUGAGCUCGCGGCCUAUCGGCUUGUUGGUGUGGUAAUGGCCUAUCAAGGCGUCGACGGGUAGCCGGCCUGAGAGGGUGUACGGGCACAUUGGGACUGAGAUACGGCCCAGACGCCGACGUGAGGCAGCAGUGGGGAAUAUUGCACAAGGAGCGGAAGCCUGAGGCAGCGACGCCGGGUGGGGGAUGAAGGCCUUCGGGUUGUAAACGCCUUUCGACAGGGACGCGGUACCUGUAGAAGAAGCACCGGCUAACUACGUGCCAGCAGCCGCGGUAAUAC
rnacentral:rRNA from 1 species